GAUGAAGAACGUAGCGAAAUGCGAUAAGUAUUGCGAAUUGCAGAAUCCGUGAGUCAUCGAAUCUUUGAACGCACAUUGCGCCCUCUGGUAUUCCGGAGGGCAUGCCUGUUCGAGCGUCAUUAUCACCCCUCAAGCCCGGCUUGUUGUUGGAUGCAGCGCUUAUCCCGCUCCUCCCAAAGAUAAUGACGGCGUCUGCGACGACUCCUGUACACUGAGCUUUCGGGCACGUACACGGCUAGAAGUCCAGACCCGGUCGCCGUCCCCCCCGCGGGGACACCCAUUACCACAAGGUUGACCUCGGAUCAGGUAGGAAUACCCGCUGAACUUAAGCAUAUCAAUAAGCGGAGGA
rnacentral:misc_RNA from 1 species